UCCUCCGUAGCUCAAUUGGUUAGAGCGUCUGACUGUUAUGCAUCUAUAGCGAUCAGGAGGUUGGAAGUUCAAGCCUUCCCGGGGGAG
rnacentral:tRNA from 1 species